UUCAGGAUCAAACAGGUAGCAUCCAUCGCGGACAUCGGGCCACACAGAGCUUGCGCCCGUGCGACACCAAUGGUCGUUUGAAUGUAUUUUUCGACGAUUGUCGCGGGCAAAUAGGAGUCCAAGACCCCGUGCCCCCAGCGUAUUCCGUAUCCCAAAGCCCGAAUGAGGAGUCAUGCCCCGAGACGACAAAGCCGAGGGCUUGAAGGCGAGGAGCACGAAUCUCAUUUCGAGGUUCCCCCAAGGCCGCAUCGUUGAACGAGCGACCCUUGGCGAACGAGGGAAUAUUGCCAACCGAAUUCCACCGUUGUGGGUACGCAACACAGGAAACAAAGCCAACGGUCGAGGCUUGAGUUUGCUCUCGGACCAACCACUGAAGAGGAUAGCACGGCAGGACGUCCCUGCACGAGGCAGGGAUCCAACCAACCC
rnacentral:misc_RNA from 1 species